AUUUAUUAAUAGUAGAUUUGAAUGGAGUAAUUAAUAUCUCAUUUAUAUUUAAUUGUGCUAUAUAUGUUUAUGCUAAAAUCUUCAGCCUUUAUAAUAUGUGACCUUCUUAUGUGUAAUUUUUUUCUUAAAGGCUAAGAAGCACCAGGCCUUCCUAGUAGAGACAUGUGAAAAUAAUGUGAAAGAAUUAGAAUCGAUCUUGGACAGCUUUACUGUGUCGGGCCAGUGGACAUCAGGUUCGUUGAAGGCAUCCACAAGGACAAAGAUAAACCUCCCAGCUUCUCUGCUGUCCUUGAGACUUUGAGGUGUACCUUGACAGAUUACCAGAGCAAGCUAGAAGAUGCAUCUAAUGAGCUAAACAGCAUGAAUGAUGCUAAGGAAAAGGCAUCUAAUGAACUUGAUUCCACCAAACUGAAGAUUGAAUUUCACACUAAAAAUAUAAAGGAACUUCAAGAUAAACUGGCUGAAGUCCGUAAAGAGUUAAGUCAUUUACGCACUAAAUGUGCAGACCGAGAAGCUUUAAUAAGCACUUUAAAAGUAGAACUACAAAAUGUGCUGCACUGUUGGGAGAAAGAAAAGUCACGAGCAGCCCAAUAUGAAAGUGAACUUCAGAAGCUGUCCCAGGCUUUCCAUAAGGACACUGAGGAGAAGCUAACCUUCCUUCAUACCUUGUAUCAACACUUGGUAGCCGGCUGUGUGCUCAUGAAACAACCAGAAGGCAUGUUGGAUAAAUUCUCCUGGUCUGAGCUUUGUGCAGUCUUGCAGGAGAAUGUUGAUGCCCUUGUUGCAGACCUCAACAGGGCUAAUGAGAAGAAAUUUCAAGAAAUUGCAGAAAAAAAUAUGGACAAAUUGAACUAUAUUGAGAAGUCACAUGCACAGUUAAUUCUUGAAAAUUCACAGUUCAAAAAUGUGUUGUCAAAGACUCAAAGGGAGCAGACAUCCUUGCUGGCAGCCUGUGCAUUGAUGGCUGGUGCAUUGUAUCCCCUCUAUAGCAGAUCAUGUGCCUUGUCUACACAGAGAGAUUUUCUCCAGGAGCAGGUCAACACUUUUGAAUUGUUCAAAUUGGAAAUUAGAACUUUAGUUGAAGCAUUGUCAGCAGUAGAGGAAAAGAAGCAAGAGGAAGCCAAGAUGAAGAAAAAACCAUUCAAAGGAUUGAUACGUGUAUUCCGGAAAGGUGUUAUUGCAAUUUUGGCAGCAAACAGACUCAAGAUUUUGGGCCAAUCAUGUGGCUCUCUUUUUACUUGGAUGGAAAGUUUCAAAGAAGGCAUAGGCAUGUUAGUGUGUACAGGAGAGCCCAAAGACAAGCUUAAAUUUCCAAGUAAGAUAUCUGAGCUUUUAAAAAUAUAAUUAGCACAUAUGAAACCUUUAAAAGAUCAUGUCACAUCAAAUCCUAUAACUUAGUUCUGUAUCUAUGUAGACACAUAGUGUUUGUAUAAAUAAAUGUAUAUUUUUAGACAAA
rnacentral:lncRNA from 1 species